rnacentral:rRNA from 1 species
CGCGUAGGGUGCGAGCGUUGUCCGGAAUUAUUGGGCGUAAAGAGCUCGUAGGCGGUGUGUCGCGUCGGCCGUGAAAACCUGCAGCUUAACUGUGGGCUUGCGGUCGAUACGGGCAUCACUGGAGUUCGGCAGGGGAGACUGGAAUUCCUGGUGUAGCGGUGAAAUGCGCAGAUAUCAGGAGGAACACCGGUGGCGAAGGCGGGUCUCUGGGCCGAUACUGACGCUGAGGAGCGAAAGCGUGGGGAGCGAACAGG